rnacentral:lncRNA from 1 species
AGAUGGGGUCUUCUUUUGUUGCCCAGGCUGGCCGCAAAUUCCUGGGCUCAAGUGAUCCUCCCACCUUGUCCUUGUAGAGAUGGGAUUUAGUUAUGUCGUCCAGGCUGAUCUCAAACUCCUGGGCUAAAUCGAGGUCUCCCUCUGUUGUCCAAGGCUGGAGUGUAGUAGUGCUAUCACAGCUGACUGCAGCCUCAACCUUCCAGGCUGAAGCGAUCCUCCCAUCUCAACCUCCCACGUGGCUGAGACUAUAGGUGCUU